rnacentral:rRNA from 1 species
UACGUAGGGUGCAAGCGUUGUCCGGAAUUAUUGGGCGUAAAGAGCUCGUAGGCGGUCUGUCACGUCUGCUGUGAAAACUCGGGGCUUAACCCCGGGCCUGCAGUGGGUACGGGCAGACUAGAGUGCGGUAGGGGAGACUGGAAUUCCUGGUGUAGCGGUGAAAUGCGUAGAGAUGUGGAGGAACACCAGUGGCGAAGGCGACUCUUUGGCCUGUAACUGACACUGAGGCGCGAAAGCGUGGGGAGCAAACAGG